ensembl:lncRNA
CCUUUCUCAGUGCAACAGGAUGUGAAGAAUUCUGAAACGUUUGUAGAUGUUAAAAACGUACAAGGAGGAUUUCAAAUGAGCUCAAACGGAGCCCCCUCUUUCGCAUGCACAUAUAUUAUCCGACGGACGUCAAUCUGCGACACAUAUGUUCACGGAGCUACGCAGGGGUUGUUUUCAAACCACAUGCAAAUGUUUUCAAAGGGGAGUCUGCAGGAAACACGUUGGCAAGAAGUCCCACGAGUGAACGGAAGUAUUGUAGCCGAGGAGGAGCGGCGCCGCAUGGGGCUCUGGCAGUGGUGGCGACCGUUUAAUCACAACGUAACCUGCUUCGUCAACUAUUUUACUCUGUUCACUGAGUCAGAGAAUGGAAAUUUUGAGGUCGACUGGUGUUGCCUGUUCCGGACAGUUCCGAGCACAAAGUUCUAGAGCGAGGGAUGGGCGGCGGGUCCGGG